AAUGAAAUGUCCUUCCCAUGGCCCACACGAGGCCCUGCACGAGCUGCUUCAUCCCCUUCCAAACCUCCUCUCCUCUCUCUUCCCCUCCUCACUCUGCUCAGACACACGGGCCUCCUCACUGUUCCUCCAACACGCCACGUGUGGUCUGCCCCAGGGCCUUUGCACAGGCCAUGCCUCUGCCUGGAACACCUGCCCCCAGAUUCUCCUAUGGCUGACUUCUCACACUUGGGUCUUAGUGCAUGCAUCACCUCCUCAGGGAGGGCCCCCUGCCCACCCCCAGUGAAUCUAGCCCCAUUCAGGACAGUCAUCUUUAUUAUGCACUGAUUGUAUACUAAGCCCAGAGACUUCAACUGUGGUUUCUUUUUCAUCCUCCCAAUAAAUCCAUCCAUCCAUCCGUUCACUCAGACAUGAAAUUCUGGACCCUCCAAUUCAGGAUCUGGGCCACCCAGUGCCUAGCUUUUUUUUUUUUUUUUUUUUUUUUUUUUGCGACAGAGUUUCAUUCUGUCACCCAGGCUGGAGUGCAGUGGUGCAAUCUCAGCUCACUGCAACCUCCGCCUCCCGGGUUCAAGCGAUUCUCCUGCCUCAGCCUCCCGAGUAGCUGGGAUUACAGGUGUGCCACCACGCCCGGCUAAUUUUUGUAUUUGUAGUAGAGACGGGGUUUCACCAUAUUGGCCAGACUGGUCUUGAACACCUGACCUCAGGUGAUCUGCCCUCCUCAGCCUCCCAAAGUGCUGGGAUUACUACAGGCAUGAGCCACUGCACCCGUCAGCCUAGCUUCUUUGUGUUCAUUCAUUCAUUCAUUCAUCAUUCAGCAAAUGUCUAUGAGCGCCUACUCUGAGCCACUGAACCAGCUGGGCUGGCCCUGGGGGAGAAUCGACUUCCCCUGCAAAUUCACUCUCAUCAGAUCCCCAGGCUGGUCUAGGAUUUGUUUAGAUGCCCUCACGUUGGGGAACUCAUUCCUUACUAAGAAUAACCACCACCAAUACCAAACAGUCUCAAGUACCACCAAUAGUGCUGAGUUCUCAGGGUGACUACAGCAUCUGCUCCCAAGCCCAGCCCAGCCCAUAUGGUGUGUGCUGUGUCAAAGAACCUGGGUUCAAAUCCCAUGUCCUUUUCUAACCCUUGGACAAGCCCCUACCCAUUUUGUGCCUCGGUUUCCCUAGCUGUAAAAUGGAGAUAGUAGUGCCUCUCUUGUGGGCUCAGCACCAGGCCUGUUACACAGCUGGUGCUUAAUAAAUGUGUCCUGUUACUUAAGGUCUGAUAUGUGUAGCUCCUGUCGUCGCCGUCCAUGGGGGUGAGUGGGGUGGGGAAGGGGUGGUUUGAGUUUCUGCACAUCAGGACACGAGGCGCGGUCCAUGCAAAUGAAAUGCAAAUCCCAUGCAAAUAAAUCUCUGGGUGGUGCAGGGCAGCGUGCAAGGCUGGAGGUACAAGGUGCACGCAUUUGGGGGGCGCCUGGGAACCCCAUGAGCCGAGCCCAGGCCCGGAGGUGCUGACCCGCAUCCAGCCCGGCUUUCAGUGCUCGGUGUAAAUGUUUACACCUGGCCGGCCGCCAGGCUCCACGCCGCCCCACACUAGGCAGCCGGGAGGGGGAAUGUAAACUCGGGCUGGGGGCCGCGGGACGCUCGGGAGGAGCCCAGACGGCGUCGAGUGUGGUGGGCGUGUACACGUGAGUUAUUAAACACCGACUGUAUGCAGUGAGGAGGAUGCCACCAGGCACUCACAGCACCAAGUAACUGGUGCCCGAAUGGGUAAAGCUCAGGGCAUUCCUGGGGGCCCACUAGCGCCCCUGCACCAGCCAGAGGUUGAAGUGAAUAGGGUAGGCAGCCAUGGAAGGCUCCCUGGAGGAGGCACCCUCCAAGCUGAGAUUGCAAGGGGAGUGAGAGCUAGGUACAGUGACUCACGCCUGUAAUCCCAGCUCUUUGGGAGGCCAAAGUGGAAGGAUAGCUUGAGCCCAGGAGUUUGAGACCAGCCUGGGCAACGUUGUGAGAUU
rnacentral:lncRNA from 10 species